rnacentral:sRNA from 1 species
AACUAGCCCAGAUUGCAAUGAAAAGCCUUUUGCGAAAAAAACUAUAUUUUUUUGCAGGAACAGAGCGACCGGAGGAAGCUCCUGGUACUGCUUUAAAAAUAUGUUUUUUGAGUAAAAGCUUGAAAUGAAAAGCUGGAUUAGCU